GCCUGGGUGGCUCAGUCGGUUGAGCGUCCGACUUUGGCCCAAAUCAUGAUCUCACAGUCCGUGGGUUCGAGCCCCGCAUCAGGCU
rnacentral:tRNA from 1 species